AUUUAUAAUAUAAGAAUUGAGAAGCGCGCAAUCUAACGCCGCCACCUCAACGUUUCUACCCCUAACAAUUGUGUCCAUGUCAGCAAUUUUGAUCACGUGUCAGGAUUGCACAGAGCUAGACAACCAGUAAAAACCUUAUUUUAUUCUUCCCAAUUCUCUUGGUCGACAGCCUCACGAAGACGCAGCCCCUGCCUGCAAUUACGGCGACGGCGACGCUGCCACUUCUUCCUCCGAUGCCGCCUAAUCGUUUUAACAACCGCAGCGUUCCAGUGUUGAUUUUCUGAUCCAGGUCUGUCGCUGCCUACUCUCGCCGGGAAUAACACCACUGCCGUCUUCAAUUUUGGCGGCCACCAUGACAGCAUCAGACUUCGACCGAUAUUGCAGCUCUCAUUCUCUCUUUCAUUCUCUUUGGCAGAUGUCCUGCAACCUGGGAAGAACAUGGUGGCUGCUGGUUAUUGUAUGUAUGGAAGCUCUUGCACCGUAUAAUCAGAAACAACUACAAGGAUAUUGGAUCAGACAGAUUCUUCUGAUGUUGUUUCAAUGUUGAUAUGUCAGAAAUGUGGUGAGAAACUGAAAAAUCUUGAUGUUGUUGAACCACACCAUAUCUCCAAGCAUUCAGCCAUGUCUAGGAUAAAUCAAUUGAUCACUCAGUUUUGUCUUGCUACCACCAGAAUGAAGUGCUAAAAGUGUUCAUCUUAAUUCAAUGGUUUCACUCUUGACCCAUCUCUUGGUGACUUUAUCCUGAUUCACACAUUAAGUGAUAUUCUUGUGGCUGCCUAUACAAAGUACUCUUUGAUUUUCAGUCUCUCUCUGCAAUCUACCUACAAAUCUACAAUCUGAAGAGGACUGUCUGCCUCUGUCCAACUCCAUGCAAUGCUAUCCUUCAACUCCCUUUCAUAGAGCAUCUCCACCAAGUGGUAAUUGGUCAUUCAUGGAUAUCAGAGGUUGGUGGUAUUGUAGAAGAUGAAGUGUAUGUUCUCAUUGCAGGCGGUGCUACAUAGUAAGCGAAAUCAACAUUUUACAAUUGACACCCUUGAUGGGGCUUGAUCAAUUCUUUUGGCUGAAACAAUUAUUUUUCUAUGGUGCCAACCUUUUAUACUCUUGAUGAAUGACAUGACUUUGAGAAAAAGAGAUAAUAGUGAUGUUUGGAUUUGAUACUCAAAGGUAUGCAAUUAGGUUUACAUUAAACAGAUGAGUUUGGUAUCUGCAUCUUUGGGUAAAAUUUUAUGGUAGACAUUUUUAAGGAAAAAAAAAAUACAUAGCAGAAUACUUUUGUACCAUACAUAUUCCAAAUUAACUUUUUUUUUUG